rnacentral:misc_RNA from 1 species
AAAGUCGUAACAAGGUCUCCGUUGGUGAACCAGCGGAGGGAUCAUUACCGAGUGCCCGAGGCUCGAACCCCUGUGAACCUACCGACGUUGCCUCGGCGGGGCGUGCCCCCGGGCCCCCGCCGCAGGAAGAAACUCUUGCUCUAGGCGUCUUCAGGGUAUAGCGCAAAAAUGUCAAAACUUUCAGCAACGGAUCUCUUGGUUCUG